CAACCUAGCCCCAAGGUAUCUUUCCAGUUUUGUUGUAAAUUACUUCCACUCCCACAGCUCUGAGAUGCAGCCAAAUAAUUUCCUGACACCUGAUGUUCCAGGGCACCUUUGCACCGACUGUCUUCCAAGUCUAGAAUGAACUACCACCUCCACCUCACAGAAUACCACAGCUCUUCCUUCAAGAUGCAAAUCAGUUGGAAUGUGGAUUUCUUAAGAGCAAAGAACAGCUUGAUUUUCCAUUUGUAUUCUCAGCCAGAAAGGACACAGUGACAUCAAGAGAAUUUAACAGAGACUGUCCAGCUGACCACCAGUGAAGGUUGGCCUUUUCAUUAGCUUUACCACCCUAAAUAGAGACUGCUCGCACUA
rnacentral:lncRNA from 1 species